CCACCUGGAGAGAACGGGAAUACAAUUCAAGUUCAGCAAUCAGGCGCCCACCUGGAGAGCACGGGAAUACAAUUCAAGUUCAGCAGUCAGGCACCCACCUGGAGAGCACGGGAAUAUAGUUCAAGUUCAGCAAUCAGGCGCCCACCUGGAGAGCACGGGAAUACAGUUCAAGUUCAGCAAUCAGGCGCCCACCUGGAGAGCACGGGAAUACAGUUCAAGUUAUCAAUCAGGAGCCCACCUGGAGUGCACAGGAAUACAAUUCAAGUUCAGCAAUCAGGCGCCCACCUAGAGAGCAUGGGAAUACAGUUCAAGUUCAGCAAUCAGGAGCCCACCUGGAGAACAAAGCAAUUCAAGCGUCGGUAAUCAGGA
rnacentral:lncRNA from 1 species